AGGUGUGGAGAGACAGUUAGCUGGGGCCAGACUUUGCAGAUCCUUCAGGCCAUGGAAAGAAAGUCAUGCAAUGGAAGCCGCUGGAGGGUUUGAAGCAGAGCAGUGAUGGAUGGAGAAUGGACAGCAGGCAGCAGAGAGGCGGUAUGUAAUUCAAAGGAUUUCCUCUAAGGAUUCCAAACUGAGCUCCAACCACGGUCCUUAAACCACCUUUUUGUCUAAAUGGCACAAAGAGAGGAGUCUCUUUCUCCUGAUGACAAGCCAUGAGGGAAGAACCUGCCUGGAAGGAAGCCGUUACAGAAGACAGCAAUGCCGUGACGGAGAGAGACGCUAGAAUCCAGUGAUGCCGUGUGAGCUUCCGGAUCAGGCUAAAGCGAGACAUACCCCUGGAAUGUUACAUGGCAUUAGGAAAAAAAAAAUUCCAUUUUUUUGCUCACUUUCAGUUGGCUUUUCUGUCACGUGCAAUUAAAAUAAUCCUGAAGGAGGCAGGCAUUACUUGAAUCCUUCUAACAGCUCCUCUAACAAGCUCGCUACAAGGUCAGGAGGCCAGAAUUCAGUAAGCUUUUCCCAGUUGAAUGUGCUUGUCCCUCACAUGCGAUAUAUGGUGGUUCUUUCAACGACGUUAAGAAGAAUGUUUUCGGCAUCAUAUUUCAUUUUGUUCU
rnacentral:lncRNA from 1 species